AGCAGCCGCGGUAAUUCCAGCUCCAAUAGCGUAUAUUAAAGUUGUUGCAGUUAAAAAGCUCGUAGUUGAACUUCAGGCCUGUCCAGACGGUCCGCCUUAAUUGGUGUGUACUGUCCUUGGGUGGGUCCUACCUUCUGGCGAAGCGGCAUGGCCUUAAUUGGUUGUGUCGGGGAACCAGGACUUUUACUGUGAAAAAUUAGAGUGUUCAAAGCAGGCAAAUAUGCUCGAAUACAUUAGCAUGGAAUAAUGGAAUAGGACGAUGGUUCUAUUUUGUUGGUUCUAGGACCGUUGUAAUGAUUAAUAGGGAUAGUUGGGGGCAUUAGUAUUCAAUUGUCAGAGGUGAAAUUCUUGGAUUUAUUGAAGACUAACUACUGCGAAAGCAUUUGCCAAGGAUGUUUUCAUUAAUCAAGAACGAAAGUUAGGGGAUCGAAGACGAUCAGAUACCGUCGUAGUCUUAACCAUAAACUAUGCCGACUAGGAAUCGGGCGAUGUUGAACUAAAAUGACUCG
rnacentral:rRNA from 1 species